rnacentral:lncRNA from 1 species
AAAAAGAUAGCACUUUGCACAGUCUUUUCACAUUAAGACUGAUUACAAAAGUCACCUGAAAAAGUAAGACAAAUUGAAGCUGCUGUUAAAGCUAUUUUAAUUGGUACUAGCUAUCUCUAGGAAAAGAGUAAGAAGAAAGGGCCUGGGAUGAGCAGAAUACUAUGCUCUAGGCUCAGUUCACAUACAGAAAACAUGUAUGGAUCACAGCUGCCCUAAUAACAGAGGAAGUCAUUCAGAAAAACAAGUGGCCAACAGGGGAAAGUUGUGGUUCCCUAAACAGAAGACUCCAUUCUGGAAAAACAGCCUUUACUCCAAGGAAUGCAGUCAUCUUCACUAGAGGCUUACCUCAUUGGAGUUGUUAUAGAAAAACUCAUCAUCCUCAUCACCAGAAUUCUCUCAAGGGGACCUGAUUCCUGUCUUAUCAUUUAUUUAAAAUCCAGAUCUUCUCUACUGAAGAUGCUUGUGACCUGGUUCCUAAGAACUGAGCCCAUGAGCAUCAUGCACUUAUGG